UUUAAUAUUUGCAUCGUUGCAAAAUCUUUGGUUACCUUCUUUGAAUAGAUUCAGUGAGAAACUUAUAUAUUUUAUAGAUCCGAAGUAAUUAUAUCGACCGUGUAUGUUUGUUGUACAUAACAUUCAUUCCUUCCUAGGCAAGCCAAGCUAUCCAUCUCCCUAUAAAACUUCAAGCCUUUUGUAUCAAAGUUGAAUUCAAGUCUUUGAUUGCACUAUUUCUACUUUCAAACGGUGGGCACGAUGUUCCUACAACGCCAUAGGAUUAAAACAGAAUCUUCGAAAUUUCAUCCGC
rnacentral:lncRNA from 1 species